GAAAGAAGAAGUUUCAUGUUGGAUUGAUUAGAAGUAAAACUUUGGAAAGAUGAUCAAAUUCAAUUACUAGAAAUGACUUGCAAGUGCUUACCUUUUCAUAACAUUUGAGGCGACUGCCAUGUUUGCCAUGGUACUAAUGUCAGUGUUUGUCUAUGUAGUACUAUUAAUUCCCAUAUGAGCCAUGAUGAUGAGGCUUAUAUAGUCACAAAACAAUUGCAACAGGUAUGUAAGUAAUCAGGAGAUGAAAAGAAGUGGUUAUGGAUUGGACGGCAAAGGCUAAUUAAAUUAAUUUAUAAGCGUGCUAGAUGUGUUCAUUUUCAAAUCUUCAACAGCUAUUACGAUUGCAUGGAUCGUACUGAAUUGACUGUGGAUAUGUCAUUCUCAUAGUUUUCCUCAUAGUUUUUAGUCUAUGCCAAUGAACAUAAACGUAUACUAAUUUAAGAGCAGCCUUUUACGACCUGGCCAGUUUCUCUGAGCUGCAGACUGAGCUGAGGUGUGCUUUUACUGAAGCUGAUGUACAAAUUUUAACUCAACAGAUUUAGGCCCCGUUUUGGUAAGUGAGUCUCUUGUGUGUUUGUCUAAAAUUUUAUUGUAAUUUAUUGUAGAAAUUUUUAAAAAAAUUUUUGAAGUGUAUAAAUUUUUGAAUAUUUUAAAAUGUAUAGUUUAAAAAUUUUGAGAGAUUUUUUGAGGUUACUAUAGUUAAAGUUUUUAAACAACUUGUAGCAGACAAACUUGGCAAAAAACUUGUCUGUCAAACAAGGCCUUAGUUUCUCAAGUGAAAAGGGUAAAAAAAAAGGGAAAUAAAAAACACUGUAGAGAGUUUCUUUUUAUGGGUUCUAGAUAUUGAUAGAAAUUGAAUAAGGAUGUAGAAAGUCGUGAGAAUAAAAUAUGACAUUGUGAGUGUGUCUCUGCGUGAAUAUAUGUUGUAAAGUAGAAGUCUUGAAGGAGAUGCUAGGGAAAGAUGUUCUUUUGAAGAAAAUGAAAUACUAAAUGAAUAGAUAGUUUUCAAUUCUAGACAAGCUGACGUACUAGAUCAAGUGGUUGAAAAAGAAAAAUACUAUGUGAACAAAUAGUUGUUUAAUUCUAAAGUGGUUCAAUAUUACUCUAUAAUAACAAAGGAAUACAAAUCUAAUUGUAAUUCAAAGCUAGAAUUUUGCGUUAGGUUCAUGUAAAUUUGUAUCCAAUUAAGAUGACUUCUCUACUUGUGCAUUGUGUUAGUAAGGAUUUCUAGGACAGUUUGUUUUUCCCUUGCUAAAAAAAUAAAAACUAUUUGGUUCUCAAAAUUAGUUUGUUAAGUAAAUCAAUUUAUAUUAACGGAAUAAAUACAAGUCUGUGUUAAACUUUACGAUGACCUGCAAUGGGUGCUUUUUUCCGGUCAAAUACAAAUGUCUUAGUCUACGCCAAAUGAACAUGAUGUUAGGCUAAUCUAACGUGUUCCUUAAUGGCUUUGCCGAUCUGGUCAGUGUUUCUGGGCUGCUGAUGGAGGAAAACAUGAAGAAGAAAGGUACAAAUAAGACUGAAAGCUAAAAGUGGACCCAAUUAUUCGAUAUUUGAAUUGGCUUUGCCUUGAUAAGAGUUUGUUCGAGUUUAGUUCACCAAUUAAUCAAACUAAAAUUGAACAACGUUUUAUGUUUGAGAACAUUCAAAUUCAAUAUAAAAGGUCGUUCAAAUUUGGUUCGAUAAAUAAAUAAGACAAGUUUGAAUAAAAUUUCAAAUUCGUUAAAUUAGCUGAACAAGUUUGAACACACGAGUGUUCGAUUUGAUUAGACUCAUUUACACGCCUACAAUUAAGAAAAGAUAUGAUUAGUGCAAUUGAUAUUUGCUUUUAGCCUAUUAGCGAACCUGAUAGUGCAAUCUGAAAUUUUUUUUUUUGUUUUACAGAUUUUGAUGCAUAAUUUUAACGUGGCGUUGGUCUCAUACUCACAUACAAAGUUAGUGUACAUGAACAAAAUUCACAAGUGCCAUAUGAUAAAAUUCACGAGUACCAUAUCGCAGAAUUGGACAUCAAAGCACAAACCGCAAGUGGCAAGUUUUUGAAGUCAUUUUCACCCAUUUCGGUCCUAUUACGACAAGAAUAUUUGACCUUUUGAGCCAAGUCGAUAGUCAAAAGUCAGAGUUUAUAUCUAUAAAAGUAUGAAUAGUCUAUAGGUAAGUGGAAUCCAAACAAAUUUUGUCUUAGUUUUGACCAAAGCACUCUUUUCUCAAAUAAUUAGGGUUAUUUCAUUUUAGUUAUGGUACUAAUUAAAUGGAUGAAACAUCAGAAAUUGAUUCGAUAAUAUUAGUAAUUAAAAUGAAACAUUACCAAUUGAUUAAAUAACUGUAGUAAUUAAGAUGAGAAUUUUUGUCAUUUAAAACUAUUUAUCAACUUUUAUACUCCAUUUUCAAUUAUCUCUUGUGCCUAAAAUUUAUUGUUUAAAGCCAAUGAGAAAAUCUUAAAUAACCACAAUUUAAUAUUGUCGUAUAUUAAUGCCAAAAUACAAAACUCUUAGCACAAAUAAAAACCAUGCAAGGAAAAAAAAUCCUUUAUUGUCUUGAAAAAUCUUUAUAAAAAGAUCAUGAGUCCUGUACUUUUAUAUAAACAUGAAAAAAAGGACAACAGAAAUUCCACGGACUAUUUAUAUCCUUAUCAACCACAAUAGUACUCAUAUAAAGAGCAAAUAGGAGGGUAUGGAAGGAUGGGUUAGAUGAUUUGGGAGAAGAGAGUAUAAGUGAGAAAUUCAUAGUCGAGUCCUCCACUUACACUACAAAAAGCAAAUAGUCCGUGCUCUAUGAACAUUGCCUCUCAAUUUUGUGAUUUAAGUUCAUCAUAAGAAAAGAAAAUUGACAUGACAAACAACAAAAGGAAAAAAGAAACAAAUGAAAAAUAAUUUAGUUUUAAUUGAGAUUAUGGUUGAGCUUAGCCAUAUCCAAUCAAAUAACGAAAAAUGUUCAAAUACUUCACCAGUAAACAAGUAACCAAUUCUAUUUCAUUGCCAUAAUUUUUCCUUCGAGAACAAAAGGGAUAAAUUUGAUGUAUAUGUAUUCAAAAUAAAUAUAUAUAUAUAACAAUUAAUUAACCAAAUUAAAUAAGAAAAUAGUUCCACAGUUAAAAAGAAAAUAUGAACAAUUAGCUAGAAAUAAUUAAAUGUGGUACAUCAUCAACACCCCUCUAAAAAUUAUUUUUAUAAUUAAUCUUUACUUUACUAUGUUCAUCAAUUUUGUUUGUCACUCCCAACUCCACAUGUGCAUGUACAUUUCUCGUGGAGAAUCAAUACUUGUACGUUAAAGUAUGAGUCAUGAUUUAUCUGGAAAGAAGUAAAAAAAAAAAAAAAAAAGGUUCAAAAAAAUUCCCAUAUAAAAGUUCAAAAUUUUAAAAUGUUUUUACAAUAAUUGAUUAAAUGAACUGAAAUGUAUAAGAAUUAUUCUUUCUAAAACUAAUCAAAAUUUCACAAAGAAUUUUAAUAUCUCAAAAGUGCUAUACUUUGAAUUAAUACAAUCAUGUACAAAGCGCAUGAGAUAUUGCCAGUAAUCAUAAGUUGCCUGCGAAUGUGCACCACACAUUCUCAUUUGAUAUCCGAAAGUGAGGCAAUCCUAAAAUUGUCAUUGUCACAUGGAAAAUAAGGGAUUAAUAAACAAAGAUAUAUUUUUUGAAAGGAGCUAUCUGUUUUACAUCUACUACAAUUCUGUACAGCCCUGUACAUUUGUCUAUAUAGACAGCUGAGAAUAUACGCUAGUAGGAAUCUAUUCUAAUGGUAAUGCAAGCUUCUUGAUCUAUCUAUUACCUCCAUAAAGUUGAAGGACAUGUACGUACAUGCAUCCCAGUUUCUAUACAGACUAUUUUACAGGAGCUCCUUUGUACAAAGAAAGUGCUGCAAUUGCUUUUCAGGAACUAUCCAACUUGCACAUACAAGAAGAGCACAGCCAGGAUUAUGAGAGCGAUGAAGAAUAUGGAUAAACGCUCAGACCCCACGUUAGAGAAUAAUCUAACCAACAAUUUUGGCGGCUGCUGCAAAUCUGCGUGACUGACGAGCUUGGGAGGGAGGUAAGCUUUGUCGACUCUGUACCUGUUAAGUGGAUGAGCUUCAUUGUCUUCAAGUUUUUGCCUUCCCAAUCUGAGCCUUCGAUUUGCUGUGCCCUGGAAAGGAAGACUACAGGAUGGGGUAUCUUCGGCUGGCUGCUUAGACUUUUUCUGCGACUCAGGUUCUGGUGCAACCGUUUGCAGGUGUUGUGGACGCGUAGAUUGCAGAAUCAUCUAGCUGGAUGAUAUCAUCUUUCAUAAUGUCAGCAAAAUAAUCUUCUUCAAUGCUGUCACAAUCCUGAAUCUCAAAGAUACAGAUAGCUAAUAAGGGUCUUGAAGACUGAAUAAGCAUCUGGGCAUCAAUUAAAAUAAAAAUAAACAUACUGCUAAUGGAAUAGCUCUUUUUUCUAGUGCUUUAUCAGCAUAUGACACCGACUGAAAUUUCGACCAGUUAAACAAUGAUAUUAUAGGGACCCGAGAGUAGUGUAUUAUAUUAUAGGGACCAGUUAAACAACUGAAAUUUCGACCAGUUAAACAAUGAUAUUAUAGGGACCCGAGAGUAGUGUUAUAUGUAACACAGAACAAACAAUCCAUUUAUUGUGGUAUAAAUCACUAGAUGCAUCCCUCAGCCAAAAAAACAUGCAACAGCAUACCUUCUGGUGGCUGGAAGACGCAUAAGGAGACAAUUCGUUGGGUACUUUAUCAUCACAUUCAAAUCCAGAUUCAAUCUGCUCAGUUGAAUGCGAAUUGUUGCUGCUACUACAUUCCUUUGACCAGCAGUCGCCUAACAUGGCUCCUUCAGAAGCAUCAGUUUGCUCAAUUCCGGAUGAAGCAGUAGCAUUGUUGUUUGCAGCUGAUGGAUGUCUGCCUUCUUGAGGUUUCCUUCGCGGUGAGUCGUCUAAAUGGAACUCAGUGUUCUUUCUAAGGCGCCACACAACCAUGAAAUCUGUCAGGUUCUGAGAUUUAGCCACCGGAGUAUUGGCCGGAAUGCAAAGAGAAAAAGAGAACGGAAAUUGAGAAAGAAAAAGAGAGAAAAGAGAGAGAAUAACAGAAAAGAAAAGAGAGAGAAAGGAAAGAGAAUGUCUGUUCUGCAAAUUUACCCAACAACCUUCAGUUACAAUUUUAUUUCUAAUGAACUGCAAUUAAGGACUAAUUGUCAACUUAAGUCAACGACGUAGUUUCCAUCCUCUAUACUUAUACUCAAAACGAACAUCGUUAUGAAUAAAAUGUCAACCAUUUUCUUCUAUUAGUGAAGUUCCGGACAAUCCCUUCCCUUAAGCAAAGCUUGUCCUCAAGCUUGGAAAUCUGGAAACUGCUUCUCAAUGAAGUCUUUGUCCUCCCAGGAUGAUUCUGACUCCGGUAAAUGAUUCCAUUGCACCAAGUAUUGAACAACGACCUGAAAGUGGCGCAUGGUUGCUCUCCUUUUAAGAACUUUCUUAGGCUUAAGCAAACAUUGACUCGCUGUAUCCAAUGCUGGUAAAAUGGGCUCAACAGAUUGAACAUUCCCCACCUUCUUUUUUAGCAAGGAAAUAUGGAAUACAGGGUGAAUCCAAACUCCUUCCGGUAACAGUAAUUUGUAGGCCACUACUCCCAUCUUUGCAAUCACUUGGAAGGGUCCAAAAUACUUAGCAGUGAGUUUUAGUCUCUUUCUAAUGGCUACGGUUUGCUGCCUAUAAGGCUGCAAUUUAAGGAACACCCAAUCGCCCACUUGUAGAGUUCAUUCAGUCCUGUGUCUGUCCGUGAAAUGUUUCAUGCGAUUCUGAGCCUUGGCGAGAUUCUCUUUGAUGAGGGAUAUAACUUGGAGCCUAUCCUAUACCAUGCUAACUGCAGCAGGUAUGACACUAUCAUGGAAAGGUCCCAAUCGAAUAUGGUUUGGUUUGUAUUCAUAUAGUGCUUAGAAUGGUGUGACUUGCAAGCUAGUAUGAAAAUUAAUAUUAUACCAAAGCUCAGCUGCAGGCAACUAGCUACUCCAAUGAGAGGGAUGCUCACUGCACAUGCAUAUGAGGUAAUUCUCCAGGCACUGAUUUACUUUCUCACUCUGACCAUCAGAUUGAGAGUGGUAGGAAGAACUGUAGUGCAGGCCUAUUCCCAACAAAUUGAAUAGUUCUUGCCAAAAUCUGCUAAUGAAAAUUUUGUCUCUGUCAGAAAUUAUUGAUUAUGGCAAACCAUGUAGUUUAUACAUAUUGUCAAGGAAAACACGAGCUAUCUGCUGUGCAGUAUAUAGAUGUGUGAGCCUUAUAAAAUGACUAAACUUGGUUAAUCGAUCUACCACCACCAAAAUAGUGCCAAAACCAUGAGAUAAGGGAAGCUACUCAAUGAAAUCCAUAGAUAUAUGCGACCAAGCCUGUUGAGGUAUUGGAAUAGGUUGUAAAAGUCCAGGGUAAGGAACAUUUUCAUGUUUGCUCCUUUGACAAACAUCACAUGAUCGUACAAACUAAAUGACAUCCUAUUUAAUUCCAAGCCAGUAGAAUAGAGUCUGUAUCCCGUGUAAACAUCCCUUUGUCCAGAAUGUCCUCCCACUGCUGAGCCAUGCAAGGCUUUGAUCAGGUUGUUUCUGAUAUUGUUAGCAAACCCCACGUACAGUCUUUCUUUGAAUUUAAGCAUCCUCUUAUCCAAGUGAUAAUCUGAGUCUUCAUUAGGGUCCAACAAUAGCUGAGCUAUUUUCUAUUGAGCUUCUACAUCCCCAUUAUAGCUCUCAAUAAGCUCCUGCAUCCAAGCUGGUUGCACUGUGGAAAUGGCACACAUGUGGUGUGUUGUUGCAUUGCUAUCACCGAUUUCUUCUAGAUAGGACAUCAACCACUCCAUUGUCUGAUCCUUUCUUGUACUGUAUCUCAUAGUCUAGCCCCAACAAUUUGGUGAGCCACUUGUGUUGCAGUGGAUGUUUAAGCCCUAAUGACAAAGUGAUGGCCAACCAGGUAAUGCUUCCAUUUAGACUAUUUAGUUACAGCUAGCACCAGGGCAAAUAGCUCAUUUUCAUACACAAAUAAUCCUAGGUUCUGAUUUGACAAAGCAUUGCUAAGGAAUGCUAUAAGGUGUCCUUGCUGCAUCAGUACUGCUCCAAUACCUACUUCACAAGCAUCUGUUUCUAUUACAAAAGGAAGAUCAAAAUCUGGCAUGCUUAGCACUGGUGCUGUAGUCAUAGCUUUUUUGAGGUCUUCAAAAGCUAUAUGAGCAUUGUAGUUCUAUAUAAAACUCUUCUUCUUGAGUAGCUAAGUUAGAAGCUUACAAAUCACCCCAUACCCCUUAAUGAACCUUCUGUAAUACUCAGUCAACCCCAAAAAACCCCUCAAUUCUUUGACUGUGCUAGGGGUAGGCCAAAUCCUUAUGCAUUCUACUUUGGCUAAGUCCAUGCUUACCCUAACAUCAGAGAUCACAUGCCCUAGGUACUUUGUGGAUGUUUUAGCAAAUGAGCAUUUGGAUCUCUUGCAGUAUAGUUGGUUAUCAGCCAAAAUUCUGAGUACAGUUUGUAAAUGUUGUGCAUGAAGCUCUAAGGUGGGGCUGUAAACCAGGAUGUCAUAAAAAAAACCAAUACAAACUUCCUCAAAAAUGGCUGAAAUAUUCUAUUCAUCAAGGCCUGAAAGGUAGCUGGUGCAUUUGUCAGCCCAAAUGGCAUUACCAGAAAUUCAAAAUGCCCAUGAUAUGUUUGAAAGGCAGUCUUGUGAAUGUCUACUAUUUUAACCCUCAGUUGAUGGUAACUAGUCCUGAGGUCUAGUUUGGACAUAUACUUUGUGCCAUGCAAUUCAUCUAGUAAUUCAUCAAUAUUUGGGAUGGGAAACCUAUCUUUAACUGUCAGCUCAUUCCGUUUUCUGUAGUCUAUACAUAACCUCCAAGAAUUAUCUUUCUUCUUAACCAAUAAUACAGGUGAGGCAAAGGGACUUGUACUGUGUAUAAUGAUCCCAUUGGUAAGCAUCUCAUCAACCUGUUUCUCAAUUUCUGCUUUAUGGGAGUGAGGGUACCUGUAUGGUUUGAGUUUAAAGGGUUCAGCUCUUGGUUUAAGAAUAAUCUGGUGAUCCAAUUCCCUUUUUGGAGGUAGGCCUUUUAGAGUAGCAAACACCUAUGAAUGCUGUUAUAGUACCCUUUCUAUAGACUCGGGAAUAUUCUUCUCUUGAUCCUGUUUGAAUUCUGCCUGUAGUGUUGCACAGUUUCUUUGCUUCUCCUGAAUGAAAGUUCUGGGAUCUCUGCCUCUCACUAGCUCCAUUGCAGGCUGAUUAAUGAAGCCUUGAAGGUGAAGUAAUUCCCCUUACUACUGAGAGCAAUGCUGCGAGUGUGAAAGUCGAAAGUAAUAGGAUUGAAUUGAUACAUCCAAUCCACACCCAGGAUGAUAUCCCAUCCUCCCAACUCCAUUACCUUCAAAUCAAACUGGAACUGGUAAUCUUGUAUCAGCCACGCCACCUUAGGACAAACUGCUCCACUGGUUAUGUCCGUCCCAUCUGCCAAGGUCACAAUGAAGGG
rnacentral:lncRNA from 1 species